AUUUUAUAGGAAAGCAUGGCAUGCUUAUGACCGGCACGAUGUUGCAAUGCUGACACUGCAGCCUAGACCUACACACGUAAAAACGCACAAGUUGUAACAAACCUGCAGCAGACUUGUAGCAUAGCUGUUCCAACAACUUGUCAACUGGAUGUGUUCGCACUGCUUGUUCCCAGCUUGUUGACAAGUUGUCAACGGCUUGUUGACAACUUGCUACAAGGUUGUUGAGCUCAACAGACUUGUUACAAGUUGUUGCAACAACUUGUUAUCGUCCUGCAAUUCAACAAUUUGUCAACAAGUUGUGAGUGAGAAUCUUGCAGUAACUUGAUAAAAUAACAGCAUUACGAAUACAUCUUGUUGACAAGUUGUGAGAUUUGACUGGCUUUGGCAGUUUGGUCAAUUUUGGG